rnacentral:rRNA from 1 species
UACGUAGGGUGCGAGCGUUUAAUCGGAAUUACUGGGCGUAAAGCGUGCGCAGGCGGUUUUGUAAGCCAGAUGUGAAAUCCCCGGGCUUAACCUGGGAAUGGCAUUUGGGACUGCAAGGCUGGAGUUUGGCAGAGGAGACUGGAAUUCCCGGUGUAGCAGUGAAAUGCGCAGAUAUCAGGAAGAACACCUAUGGCGAAGGCAGCACUCUGGGACGGUACUGACGCUGAGACGCGAAAGCGUGGGGAGCGAACAGG